rnacentral:rRNA from 1 species
UACGUAGGUGGCAAGCGUUGUUCGGAAUUACUGGGCGUAAAGGGCUCGUAGGCGGCCAACUAAGUCAAUCGUGAAAUCCCUCGGCUUAACCGGGGAACUGCGCUUGAUACUGGAUGGCUUGAGUUUGGGAGAGGGAUGCGGAAUUCCAGGUGUAGCGGUGAAAUGCGUAGAUAUCUGGAGGAACACCGGUGGCGAAGGCGGCAUCCUGGACCAAUACUGACGCUGAGGAGCGAAAGCUAGGGGAGCAAACGGG